UUGAACGCUGGCGGCAGGCCUAACACAUGCAAGUCGAACGGUAACAGGAAGAAGCUUGCUUCUUUGCUGACGAGUGGCGGACGGGUGAGUAAUGUCUGGGAAACUGCCUGAUGGAGGGGGAUAACUACUGGAAACGGUAGCUAAUACCGCAUAACGUCGCAAGACCAAAAAGGGGGACCUUCGGGCCUCUUGCCAUCGGAUGUGCCCAGAUGGGAUUAGCUAGUAGGUGGGGUAACGGCUCACCUAGACGACGAUCCCUAGCUGGUCUGAGAGGAUGACCAGCCACACUGGAACUGAGACACGGUCCAGACUCCUACGGGAGGCAGCAGUGGGGAAUAUUGCACAAAGGGCGCAAGCCUGAUGCAGCCAUGCCGCGUGUAUGAAGAAGGCCUUCGGGUUGUAAAGUACUUUCAGCGGGGAGGAAGGGAGUAAAGUUAAUACCUUUGCUCAUUGACGUUACCCGCAGAAGAAGCACCGGCUAACUCCGUG
rnacentral:rRNA from 1 species